rnacentral:rRNA from 1 species
UACGAAGGGGGCUAGCGUUGCUCGGAAUCACUGGGUGUAAAGCGCACGUAGGCGGAUUGUUAAGUCAGGGGUGAAAUCCUGGAGCUCAACUCCAGAACUGCCUUUGAUACUGUCGAUCUUGAGUCCGGGAGAGGUGAGUGGAACUGCGAGUGUAGAGGUGAAAUUCGUAGAUAUUCGCAAGAACACCAGUGGCGAAGGCGGCUCACUGGCCCGGUACUGACGCUGCGGCGCGAAAGCGUGGGGAGCAAACAGG